GAUGAACGCUAGCUACAGGCUUAACACAUGCAAGUCGAGGGGCAGCAUGGUCUUAGCUUGCUAAGGCCGAUGGCGACCGGCGCACGGGUGAGUAACACGUAUCCAACCUGCCGUCUACUCUUGGACAGCCUUCUGAAAGGAAGAUUAAUACAAGAUGGCAUCAUGAGUUCACAUGUUCACAUGAUUAAAGGUAUUCCGGUAGACGAUGGGGAUGCGUUCCAUUAGAUAGUAGGCGGGGUAACGGCCCACCUAGUCUUCGAUGGAUAGGGGUUCUGAGAGGAAGGUCCCCCACAUUGGAACUGAGACACGGUCCAAACUCCUACGGGAGGCAGCAGUGAGGAAUAUUGGUCAAUGGGCGCAGGCCUGAACCAGCCAAGUAGCGUGAAGGAUGACUGCCCUAUGGGUUGUAAACUUCUUUUAUAAAGGAAUAAAGUCGGGUAUGUAUACCCGUUUGCAUGUAC
rnacentral:rRNA from 1 species